rnacentral:lncRNA from 1 species
AUGCUCUGGGUGUCAACUACUCGAUCAACGAAGUGUGUAAAUUCUACGUCCAGGGAUCCUGUUCGAAAGGAGAGAGCUGCAUAUACAUGCACAAGUUUCCCCUGCAAGUUCUUCCAUACUUACGAGAAGUGCUACCAAGGAGACCAGUGCAGGUUUUCCCAUGAACCCCUGACUGAGCUCACCAAACAGCUACUGGAGGCAGCAUUGAAGAGGGACAAGGACAUUGAGGAACUGGCUAAAAACGACAAGCCAAUCAGCAUGGAGGAGCCAGUGACAGCUGAGGAGACAAAGCCUGGCAUUGACAUAUUCCUGAAUCCCCUAAGGCCAAACUUUUACAACAGCUCAUGCCCCUCUGAGCCACAUGCUGAGGAAAGUACCACCAUGUAUCAGAAUGAAGUGUCAGCUGAGGUCGUGGAGAAGGAAAUUGCCAAUAAGAGGCAGGCUUCUUAUUCAGUUGAGGCUUUCUCUACGGCCCAGAAGCCAGUGAAAAACCCCUUUUGCAGUCUCUUUGCAGGGACGAUCAGCCAGACCUCCACUACACCUCUCAUACAGAACUCUGCUAAUUCGCCCAUCAACACCCCAGGAUGUAAGGGACUAGCUUCUUAUUCAGUUAAGGCUGUUCUAAAGUCCCACAAGCCUGUGGAUAACCCCGUCCGCAGCCUUGUUGCAGGCCCCAUCACACAGUUCUCUCGCCACCCUGAUAUACAGACCCAACACCCAACUAGAUCGUCCUAGCACUACAUUAAAUCCUCCAGACUCCAUUCGGCCCCCUGGUCCUCCUUCAGUCUAUAAGAGGCCGGCUUACUAUUCAGCUAAAGCUGUGCUUGGAUCUUUGAAACCAUCCUUCAGCAGCCUCUUUGCAGGCCCCAUCAGUCAGACAUCUCCCCAACCUCCCACACAGACCCAACCAGAUUCCCCUAGCGCUACAUUUCUGCGCCUCCUGCAGGC